rnacentral:rRNA from 1 species
AAUAGAUACCCUGGUAGUCCAUGCCGUAAACGUUGGGAACUAGAUGUAGGGCCUGUUCCACGGGUUCUGUGUCGUAGCUAACGCAUUAAGUUCCCCGCCUGGGGAGUACGGCCGCAAGGCUAAAACUCAAAGGAAUUGACGGGGGCCCGCACAAGCGGCGGAGCAUGCGGAUUAAUUCGAUGCAACGCGAAGAACCUUACCAAGGCUUGACAUAUAGAAGAACGGGUCAGAAAUGAUCAGCUCUUUGGACACUUCUAUACAGGUGGUGCAUGGUUGUCGUCAGCUCGUGUCGUGAGAUGUUCGGUUAAGUCCGGCAACGAGCGCAACCCUCGUCCUAUGUUGCCAGCGGUUCGGCCGGGAACUCAUGGGAUACUGCCGUGGUCAACACGGAGGAAGGUGGGGAUGGACGUCAAAUCAUCAUGCCCCUUAUGUCUUGGGCUUCACGCAUGCUACAAUGGCCGGUACAAAGGGUUGCGAUACCGCGAGGUGGAGCGAAUCCCAAAAAGCCGGUCUCAGUUCGGAUUGGGGUCUGCAACUCGA